GACAGAGGUCCCAAGCGUUAGGCGGAAUCACUGGGCUUAAAGCGUGUGUAGGCGGAUUUGUAAGUACCUUGUGAAAUCCCACGGCUCAACCGUGGAACUGCUUGGUAUACUGCUUAUCUUGGGCCAUCUAGGGGCUACCGGAACAAGUGGUGGAGCGGUGAAAUGCGUAGAUAUCACUUGGAACGCCAAUGGUGAAAACAGGUAGCUGGGGAUGUGCCGACGCUGAGACACGAAAGCCAGGGGAGCGAACGGG
rnacentral:rRNA from 1 species